GACUCAGUCCCUAAGUUAUGGCAGUAUCCGAGUUUAGUCCCUCAGUUAUAAGCAAAGUGGCGAGUUUGAUCCAUAGCCAUUAAAUUUAACGAAA